rnacentral:rRNA from 1 species
UACGUAGGGUGCAGGCGUUAAUCGGAAUUACUGGGCGUAAAGCGUGCGCAGGCGGUUUGCUAAGACAGGUGUGAAACCUCCAGGCUCAACCUGGAGACGCCACCCGAUACUGCUGUGGCUAGAGUCCGGUAGGGGAGCGUGGAAUUCCUGGUGUAGCGGUGAAAUGCGCAGAUAUCAGGAGGAACACCAGCGGCGAAGGCGGCGCUCUGGGCCGGUACUGACGCUGAGGAGCGAAAGCGUGGGGAGCAAACAGG